UGGGGAAUUUUGGACAAUGGGCGAAAGCCUGAUCCAGCAAUGCCGCGUGUGUGAAGAAGGCCUUCGGGUUGUAAAGCACUUUUGUCCGGAAAGAAAUCCUUGGCUCUAAUACAGUCGGGGGAUGACGGUACCGGAAGAAUAAGCACCGGCUAACUACGUGCCAGCAGCCGCGGUAAUACGUAGGGUGCAAGCGUUAAUCGGAAUUACUGGGCGUAAAGCAUGCGCAGGCGGUUUGCUAAGACCGAUGUGAAAUCCCCGGGCUCAACCUGGGAACUGCAUUGGUGACUGGCAGGCUAGAGUAUGGCAGAGGGGGGUAGAAUUCCACGUGUAGCAGUGAAAUGCGUAGAGAUGUGGAGGAAUACCGAUGGCGAAGGCAGCCCCCUGGGCCAAUACUGACGCUCAUGCACGAAAGCGUGGGGAGCAAACAGGAUUAGAUACCCUGGUAGUCCACGCCCUAAACGAUGUCAACUAGUUGUUGGGGAUUCAUUUCCUUAGUAACGUAGCUAACGCGUGAAGUUGACCGCCUGGGGAGUACGGUCG
rnacentral:rRNA from 1 species